UACGGAGGAUGCAAGCGGUAUCCGGAAUUAUUGGGCGUAAGCGUCCGCAGGUGGCUCAGCAAGUCUGCUGUCAAAGACUGGAGCUUAACUCCAGCAAGGCAGUGGAAACUGAAGAGCUAGAGACCGGUAGGGGUAGAGGGAAUUCCCAGUGUAGCGGUGAAAUGCGUAGAGAUUGGGAAGAACACCAGUGGCGAAAGCGCUCUACUGGGCCGGUACUGACACUCAGGGACGAAAGCUAGGGGAGCGAAAGGG
rnacentral:rRNA from 1 species